GAUGAACGCUGGCGGCGUGCCUAAUACAUGCAAGUCGAGCGAACGGACGAGAAGCUUGCUUCUCUGAUGUUAGCGGCGGACGGGUGAGUAACACGUGGAUAACCUACCUAUAAGACUGGGAUAACUUCGGGAAACCGGAGCUAAUACCGGAUAAUAUUUUGAACCGCAUGGUUCAAAAGUGAAAGACGGUCUUGCUGUCACUUAUAGAUGGAUCCGCGCUGCAUUAGCUAGUUGGUAAGGUAACGGCUUACCAAGGCAACGAUGCAUAGCCGACCUGAGAGGGUGAUCGGCCACACUGGAACUGAGACACGGUCCAGACUCCUACGGGAGGCAGCAGUAGGGAAUCUUCCGCAAUGGGCGAAAGCCUGACGGAGCAACGCGGCGUGAGUGAUGAAGGUCUUCGGAUCGUAAAACUCUGUUAUUAGGGAAGAACAUACGUGUAAGUAACUGUGCACAUCUUGACGGUACCUAAUCAGAAAGCCACGGCUAACUACGUG
rnacentral:rRNA from 1 species